AUACAGUCUAUGUUUCAAACCCUCCAACGCGGCAGCAGUGAGUCGGUUCAAGAGAAAAGCAAAUCCAGCUGUGUGUCCUCUGCAGCUGGUCUGGGAGAAAAAGUCACGGCAGUCCCACAUCUGUUGGUGAGAAAUGGACAAACGAAAGGCUGUAAAACGCAUGUUGUCUAACCUGUCAACGGACCACUUUGCCGACUUCUGCGACGAGCUGUUGCACCGCAAAGAGGAGCCGCGGGUCGCGCGCAACAGGGUGGAAGGAAAAAGCUUCUUAGAGAUCACGGAGGUCUUGAUUUCCACUUACAAUGAAACCGGAGCUGUCGAAGUGGCUGCGGAGGUAUUGAACGAGAUUCAAUGCAACAAAGAAGCAGCCGAACUGUUGAAAGCGACUGGUUUACAGCCCUAAAAACCUGGUUCCAGUGACAUCAGACGGACCAGAUGACAUUAAACAGCUCAUUUUGACACUGCAAGACAUCAGGAGCUGUGGGGUGCGGUAUCCAUUCGUGAUAAGGCAACAUCUCAGAACAUGUUUCACUGCCUUCAUGCAUGAUGUUUGCUCUUCCUUUCUUUAAAAGAAAGAAGAAUAAUCUGAUAUAAUUUAUAUCAAUAGCUUCCAUCCUAAUUGAGAUAUCCACAACAACCAACUGAAAAAAAUGUGUACAGUGCCUAUAGAAAAUAAUCAAACCCCUUUCAAAUAGUUACUAUAGUUAUCAUAGAGCCUGAAAUAAAAACCAAUAAAAAAAAAGGCGACAGUUCUGGAUAUUAAUACAAAAUGAAAAACUAGAAUAACAGGGUUGGAAAAGUGUUUAGGAAUAGAAAUUCAAGAAACAGCUGGUUUUAUUUAUUAUUUUAAGUAAUACAAAUCACUUCAAUUGAUGUCAGGUGGUGGGCAAAUAGCCGGAUGUUGGAUCUGGAAGUUGCUCCUGAGCAUAUUCCUAAACUCUAAGGGACUGAUGACUUAUCAAAACCAGGUAUUUAACUGAUCAAUGUUUAAUAAUCGUCCAGAAUUUGGUCAUUUUCGCUUUGAUGAUGAGGGUUAUAAUGUGUGCAUACAGUUUAAAAAAGUGAAUUUGUGGAACAUUCAACUGUUUUCCUUGUCACAUUAAAGUUUUUAAUGACAUCAUAGUCAUUGUUGAUAAUG